AGAAAUCAAAAUCUACACAUUAAUAUAAAUCUACAAACGUAGAAACCGACUUCUACAGAUUUACUGUAAAUCUAAAACAUGUAGAAAUCAAAAUCUACAUAUUACUAUAAUUCUAAAAACCUGUAGAAAUCGAUUUCUACAGAUUAGUUGUAUUCUACGGAUAAGAAAUCAGUUCCUAAAAAUAUGAAAACAAAAUAUUUGGGAAUAUUCACUUUCAUAUUUUUUAAAAAAUCGAUUUUUUUUAUAAAAAGAAAAACAAAAAAAACAAAAAAAAUACAACUUUAAGGGCAUUAUUGCCAUUUUGAAAAUAAUUAGUUUAAUGAGACAUAAAAUAUAUGAGAUUAGUCUAAAGGGACAUAGUUAUCAUUUUUUUGCUCUAAAAAACAAUUUUCCCUAUUAUAUUUACGAAAUAACAGUUUUACAUCAUGUGCAUCAGAAAUUUAAACACCAAAUUGAAAACUAUCUUUUUCUAUCUCGUCCCAAACAAAUAUUGUAAAAUGCCACAAGCUUUAGUUUAUCCCCCUUUGCACUAACCAGACUCAACUUGUUCUUCAUGCUUUU
rnacentral:lncRNA from 1 species